UAUUUACACUAGGGGUGCCAUAUAAGGCUGAGACAGAUAGUAAUCUGGACCCUUUGAACCUGAUCUGGGAAAUACCAGCGUAGGGAAGUGGGAUUGAAACUUU
rnacentral:ncRNA from 1 species